GGGCGGUUGGUAGAGUGGUCUAUUACACCAGACUGUAAAUCUGGCGGCUUAUGCCUUCGGGGGUUCGAAUCCCUCACCGCCCA
rnacentral:tRNA from 1 species